UACGAGGGGGGCAAGCGUUGUUCGGAAUUAUUGGGCGUAAAGAGCUCGUAGGCGGUUUGUCGCGUCUGCCGUGAAAGUCCGGGGCUCAACUCCGGAUCUGCGGUGGGUACGGGCAGACUAGAGUGAUGUAGGGGGAGACUGGAAUUCCUGGUGUAGCGGUGAAAUGCGCAGAUAUCAGGAGGAACACCGAUGGCGAAGGCAGGUCUCUGGGCAUUAACUGACGCUGAGGAGCGAAAGCAUGGGGAGCGAACAGG
rnacentral:rRNA from 1 species